AUAAGGAAAAACCAAGCUCUUUAUUGAUUGGGAAAGGUAACUGAGUUCAAUUGUGUACAUGAUACUUUGUGGACCAUGCCUCAAUCUGUUCUACAAGCUAGUUCAGGAUUGCAAGGACAAGUCUGAGCAAGGAAGAUAAAUGUAAGGCAAAUCUAUUAUAGAUGUCAGGUCUGGAAACACCUCAUGUAAAGAAUUGCUGUAGAGCUUGAGAAUGAGAUCUAUAUGGCUCUCAGGACAGUGGGAGAAUGAUUAAUUCAUAGAAAGAUUGUACUGACCUGUUUCCAGAAGGAUUGCUGGAUCCAUUCAAAGGUAUCUUUGAUUGCAUGAAAGUUAGAGACUACCCUGAAGUAAGAAGCAAGUAACGUUAGCAAAAGAUGGACUAAAAUGAUGACUAUAAACUCAGAGAUAGAAGAGACAGACUAGAGGGCAGAAAACACAGAUAGCAGUACACCUCUGGGGCUGGAGGGAUAGCUCAGCCAAUAAAGGCUACACUCAGAACCAAAAACACAAGAAAUAUACCUCUGAAAACUUAGCAAUUCUCCAUUUAUUUUCAGGAUUAAGAAUACUUUAUAAGUAUUCUUAUAAAAAACAUUGAAUUAUUUGGCUGAAUUAUUAUUCUGAACAUGGGAAGGGAAUAAACCAAUAAAGAAUAAUAUUUCAUUUUUAAUAUUUAUUUUCUUUUCAUAUAACUCAGAUUGGUGUUAAAUUCCUGAUCAUCUUACCUCUACCUCAGAAGUGCUUAAACUGUAUGCAUGAGUCAUUAUGCCUCGUAUAAAUCACAGAAUUUUAAAGAUCAGUUUGUCCAGAAUCUGAGAUACCGACUUCCCUCUGAAUUUGGAUGUGAUCCACAUGCAAUUUUAAGAUUUCUACUGAUCGGCUGGGGAAACCCACAGAAACAUCUGACCUGAACAAGUGGAAGCUCAUGGAUCCCAGACUGAUAGUUGGGAAACCCUCAUAGGACAAAUCCAGACCCCCCUGAACAUGGGUGUCAGUGAGGAGUCCUCAGAAAUCUAUGGGGCCUCUGGUAAUAGAUCAGUAUUUAUCUCUAGCAUACGAAUGGACUUUGGGAGUCCAUUCCACAUAGAGGAAUGCUGUCUCAAUCUAGACACAUGGGGGAGGGCCUAGGCACUGCUCCAAAUGAUAUGACAGAUUUUGAAGAUCCCCCCAUGGAUAGCCUCAUCUUCCUUGGGGAGCAGAAAAGGGAUGGGCUAGGGAGUUAAUGGGAGGCAGGGGAGGAGGGGAGGGAACUGGGAUUGACAUGUAAAACAAUCUUGUUUUUAAUUUAAAUAAAAA
rnacentral:lncRNA from 1 species